rnacentral:tRNA from 1 species
UAGACCGAUGCUCGCUGGUUUGGGCGUUUAGCUGUUAACUAAAAGGUUGUAGGAUCGAGGCCUACCGGUCUAG